CUUUGGUAGAUGGGAUAUGGGCUUAAUGUUAUCUGGAUAGGAUUAGUGAGCUUCAGAAGAAAAGUGUAUUGAUGAACAAAUACUAUAGAUACAGAACUAUAGAUUCAGUAUGUUCUAUUUCUAGAGCCCAGAACAGAUCAGGAUUUUCAGCCGUGGAAGUGGGAAAAUAAAUUAUUAAAAAAGCCUACAGCUGUUUGGUAUAAGCACUAUGAAUUGGGCUGUAGCAAGUAGCCGAGAUAUAAGGAUUUAUGCCACCAGGCCUGUGACUAAGAUUCAGGCUCAAACCUUUCCAAACUACAAAAUUUAUGACAUUCCUGGUUAUGCAUCAAGGUUAAUUAGAUUAACCUUGAUACUUACACCUUGAAACCACAUGGAAGGUGCAGGGACAUUUUCUCUGUGUAUGUGUUUAUACACAGAAAAUGUGAAGUACUUGGCUCUCACAGUAACUCAUCUGGCGCUUGCAGUGAAAGCAAAGUAACUUUCAAACAAAAAUGAAAUGUUAGUAAGCUCUGGGUCACUUGGCUGCAUACAAAGUGACUUCCCUUUCUUGGCUGGGGACAUUGUCACAGCUGACUUAAGCUUUUCAGUCAGUUCUGUGUAACGAAGCCAACCAGCUGCAGCUAAGACUGAAAGACUGCUUGUCUUUUCUGUGUUUUUUCUCUGAAAAAGACCUCAGCCCUGGGGUCAAUGGAGGGUACACGGAGGGUCUGUGUUACUUGUGUGGGUCAGAGCUGGACUGCAUUUUGAGGAGUGACAGAUCUGGAUAGCUGGGUCAGUGCAGACAGAGCCAGUAUAGUGAGCCAGGGGACCCAGUAAUGAGGGUGCUAACUGACUUGCAGGUCCUGUCAAACUUUUGUAGAACACAGGACAGACAACCACAGAGCCAAGGUAAGUCUUCAGGUUUAGUAAGUGGAAGGAGUUCACGACGAAGGGCAUGCAGGGAUCGGUGCCACAUGUGCCUUGAAAGUUAGGAUAUGUGGGGGAUGUUGGGAGAAAGGUUUUUUUUUUUAUAAUUUAUUCAGCAUUUUUUAUUUAUUUGGCACUGGUAAUAUGAUAAAAAUAAUCCUUAGCAAGCUCAGGAUUGUGCCAUCAAUGCUAAAUACUAUGUAAUAAGCACAGCAGACCCUUGAACAACACGGAGUUAGGGGUGCCAACCUCCAUGCAGUCAAAAAUUCACACCUAAGUUUACAGUCAGCCCUCUGAUUCCACAUAUAUGGACCCACACAGUUUAAAUUAUGUUCAAGAGUUAACUAAGGUACAAAACAUACAGAAAAGGUUUAAUACUUACUUAUGAUACUUACUGCCUUAGGGAAGUCUUCAGAAGGGUGGCAGUAUUUGGACUCUUCAAGGAACAGAACAAAUAUUGUGGACACAUUUGCCUUCCAGCCCUUUUCCAGAGACACGUCAGCUGAGACUUAACACACUUUCAGAAGUGACUUUCAAAAUCAUAACUCUCGUUCUAGAAGAGCAGAGGGGUAGGGGCUGCUUCUGGUACUGCCAUUAUAAGAGGUGAAUGUCAAGGUGACAAAUCCCUAUACAAUUCAGUAGGUGCCUUCCAGGAUACACCACAGGCAAGGGACUCUCAUCUCCCUCAUAUUUGUGCAGUACAGAUUAUUUUCACAUCAGACACCUCAGAGACACUGAUAACCUGAGGUGCUUUUCUUUGUCAACUGCAAUUUUAGCCAACCUAAUAAAUGUAUUAUGUCUUCUAGUCUCUUUGCAAAUGAGUAAACUAUAUGUGGCAUGUGUGGGGAACUCUUCACCGAAAUUUUCUAGUAAUUUUUUUUGUAGAAAAUUGUUUUACAAAACUUUGUUAGCUCACCUUUUCCAGAUGUAAAGGGGAAAAGCCAGCCAAUAACUUCCCAUUACAAUCCCUAAAAAUCAUAGCAUCAUAAAGUCCAAUAAAAACCAUUGGUUCAUCCUGAUUUGUGGGUCUUUGAGGGACCACAUUGGACAUACUAGUCUACUGCACUCUGCUUUCACAUAAGCCACCCUGUUUUUGGUCUCAGCGUGCCAUUCACUUCUUUUUUUCUUUCCCUUUUUCUGGCUGCACCUGUGGCAUAUGGAAGUUCCCAGAUCAGGAUCCAGCCUUGCCACAGCUGGAUCCCUGCCCACUGAUCAAGGCCAGGGAUCGAACCCACAUCCUCAUGGAAACGAUGUUGGGAUCUUAACCCCCUUGAGCCACAAUAGCAACUCCUCUGUUCACAUCUUUCCAACCAUUAGUUUGCACUUUUCAAGUCAGGUGUUCACCCCUUGUCACAUGGUCAUCUACUAUAUUGUGUCUGGUGUCUGAUGCUUUUUCUGUUGUGCUCAGUGAACUAGGACCCUUGUGGCUGAGCAAUCCUUGAAAGCAUAUCCCAAAUAGUUUCCACUCCUCAAAACCAGGACCUCACCCUGAGAAAAUUGAAGGACAGACCAUCUGAGCCACAAGUUUCCUUACAUGUCUUACCAUUAGCUGACUCUGACCAAGCUUACUCAUACGUCUUCCUUCUCAUUUCUAACGCCAUGCUCUGGUUUUUUACCUAGGAAGCCAUUUCUCCAUCCACUGACCACGUUCUUUCUUCCAUGAAGACUACACUAUUUUACAGUUUUAGUGGCAAAAGGAAGUGUUCAUUAAAUACCUGGUACCUGUAUUCACUGAUUUAAAAUUGUUUUAUUUUGCCUAUAGAAAGUUAUAAACCACUCUGAAUAUGAGAAUAUUUUCUAGUGACCAACUCUUAACUGCAGCUGACCCACAAAGCCAACAAGAACAAGUUUCUUACCAUCCACUAGAUGGCACUCUUGGUCAACAGUGAUUCUUAAAAAAGACACUUGGAGUUCCUGUAGUGGCUCAGCAGAAAUCAAUCUGACUAGCAUCCAUGAGGGUGCAGGUUUGAUCCCUGGCAGGUCUGAUCUCUGGCCUCAAUUAAGGGUUAAGGAUCGGGUGUUGCCCUGAGCUGUGGUGUAGGUCGCAGAUGCAGUUUGGAUCCCACAUUGCAGUGGCUGUGGUGUAGACCAGCAGCUACAGCUCUGAUUUGACCCCUAGCCUGGGAACCUCCAUAUGCUGCUGGUGUGCCCCUAAAAAAAACACAAAAGACACUUCCAAAUGGGACAAUAAAAAGUUCUGGAGUUCCAAACCCCACUAGCAUCCAGUGGACGUGAGUUCGAUUCCUGGCCUUGCUCAGUGGGUUAAGGAUCUGGUGUUGCCAUGAGCUGUGGCGUAGGUCACAGAUGCGUCUGGGAUCUAGCUUUGCUGUGGCUGUGGUGUAGGUUAGCAACUGAAGCUCCAAUUUGACCCUUAUUCUGGGAACUUCCAUAUGUCAUGGGUGCAGUCCUAAAAAGACCAAAAAAAAAAAGUCCUUUUAAAAACAGUAAUGCUACAUGCUCCAGUAGAGGUCUCUAAUUAGGCUACCCUGGGUUAUGAUUAUGACAAAAUAUGAUAAAGAUCACUUGAUCUUUAUUGCCUACUGGUCUAUGAUUUUUAAUAAAUGAUAGUUUUUUUGUUUUUUUUUUUAAUUUUUAUGAGUGCACUCAUAGCAUAUGAAGUUCCCAGACCAGGGGCUGAUUCCAAGCCACAGCCAUAGAGUUCCCAUCAUGGCUUAGUGGUUAACGAAUAUGACUAGGAACCAUGAGGUUUCGGGUUCGGUCCCUGGCCUUGCUCAGUGGGUUAAGGAUCCAGCGUUGCCAUGAGCUGUGGUGUAGGUUACAGAUGCUGCUCGGAUCCCGCACUGCUGUGGUGGCUACAGCUUCUGAUUCAUCCUAGCUGGGAACCUCCAUAUGCCAUGGAAGCAGCCCAAGAAAUGGCAAAAAGACCAAAAAAAAAAAAAAAAAAAAAAAAAAGCCACAGCUACACCACAGUUGCAGCAACACUGAUCUUUUUAACCCAUUGCACUGGGUCAGGGAUCAAACCCACGCCUCUCCAGCAAAACUGAGCUGCAACAGGCAGAGUCUUAACACACUGCAUUAUGUCAGGAACUCUGCUUAUUAUUUUUACAGUUCAUGUUUUCCUUCUUUAAACAGAUUAUGAACACAUCCUAUUGCAAACUACCUCACACCAGUAUUCAUCUUUUAAAACAAGUUUUAAUCAUAACUUCUCACAGAUGAAAAGGGAUAGCACAGAAAAUGGACAUUAGAAUACGAUCAUAAGGACAGGAGACCACUCAACUUUCAUUGAGUGGUCUCCAACUUCUUGAGAAGCAGAGUAGCUGAGGGGCACUGGUAUAAUGUGCACCUGAAGAGAAGUUUGAAUGACCAGGCCCCUUGGGCAUGGUAGGAAAACUAGAUAUCUUAACGCUAGUGUGGCCCAGUAUAAACAGCAGAGGACUGCUAGUCAAACCUUUGUUUCUUCUGGCUCUGCUCCCAAACUGGUAUAAAAUUUCACAAAACUCCUAACCUUAUGGGCCUUAAUUUUUUAAUAAUGUUUUAAAGGCCCUAAAAAUUAUGACAUCCAUGACAUCAAUAUGAAAAGCACCAACCAAGGCAUACUGAGGAAAAAGAACCAAGCUGGAGGGAUCACACUCCCUGACUUCAGACCAUACUACAAAGCUACAGUAACCAAACCAUAUGGUACAGGCAGAAAAAGACAUGUAGAUCAAUGGAACAGAACAGCCCACAAAACAACACACAGACCUAUGGUCAAGCUGUGACAAAAGAAUCAAGAAUAUGCAACAGGGAGUUCCCGUCGUGGCGCAGUGGUUAAAGAAUCCGACUAGGAACCAUGAGGUUGCGGGUUCGGUCCCUGCCUUUGCUCAGUGGGUUAACGAUCUGGCGUUGCCGUGAGCUGUGGUGUAGGUUGCAGACGCGGCUCGGAUCCCGAGUUGCUGUGGCUCUGGCGUAGGCCGGUGGCUACAGCUCCGAUUCACCCCUAGCCUGGGAACCUCCAUAUGCCGCGGGAGCGGCCCAAGAAAUAGCAACAACAACAACAA
rnacentral:lncRNA from 1 species